UCCUAAAUUUUUAUUGAUAACAUGUUAUAAAACUACAGAGUAAACCGUAGAAAGAAAUGAGAAGUACAGACAGACAUUGAAAUUUGAUCUCAAAGCUUAUCUUAUUCAUUUAUACAAGCUCCUUUUAUAAGUUUACAACCAUAAUGAUAUGAACCUGAACAUAUAAACACAUAUCUUUUCCAAAAAAAUAAAAACAGAAAUCAACAAAUCAAACAAGGGAAAUUUUAUUUGGUCUCAACUUUUUUAUCUCUACACUCAACUAAUAUUUUUACUUCUCUGAUCUUCCAAAUUUGUCCUUAAAUAAUAAACGUUGAAGUUUUCUUUGUAUCU
rnacentral:lncRNA from 1 species